rnacentral:lncRNA from 1 species
AGCUGUCUUUUGCUUCUUGUGCUCAUUGCAGGGCUGCAAGAAUCAACUUUUUUGCUUCUUGUGGCCAUUGCAGGGCUUUCAAAUGACACAUCGUUCUUCUUUCCUUUGUCUUCAGUUUGCUUCUUGGCUUUGGGCUUCAUGAGCUUUCCCUUAUCUUUAGCCUUGUUAGCUAGCUUGUUCCCUUUUUCUUUGGCUGCAACAAGUGGAUUUCCCCUAGCCAUGGGAAACUCAGAGCUAAUGGGCUCAGGCUGGUCUGUA